CACAUACAGGAGGCUCUUGCAGGGUCUAGCAAGCUAUUAACAUAGCAGGGGAUAAGAAAAUCUUAAACAGAACUUGCAAUAAAGAAAGCCUAAAUAGGGCUCUCUUUACAGGAAGUGUUUAUGGAAGGCUGUGCAAGUCACAUGCAGGAAGGUGUGACUAGGGUUCAUAAACAAAGGGAUCUAACUCCUAAAUGGCAGAGGAUUGAGCAGUGAGGUUGCUGGGGCAUGUUCUAUACACCAAAACUGCUUCAUUAAGCUAAGGUGACUAUAGUGUCCCUUUAAGUGGUUGUAAUAACCCACAACGGAGAGUGUGGGGUUGUUUAUUUCUAGAACAGAUGUCACAUGCUGUUACGUACUCUUUGACAUCUGUUCUCAAAGAAGGCCACCAAAACUUGGUGAUUAUGAGAGAGUAUAUCUUUU